GCCGGGCGUAGUGGCGCACACCUGUAAUCCCAGUGGCUUGAGAGGCUGAGGCAGGAGGAUUGGGAGUUCAAAGCCAGCCUCAGCAAAAGCGAGGCCCUAAGCAACUCAGUGAGACCCUGUCUCUA
rnacentral:sRNA from 1 species